rnacentral:rRNA from 1 species
GAUGAACGCUGGCGGCGUGCCUUAUACAUGCAAGUCGAGCGAACAGACGAGGAGCUUGCUCCUCUGACGUUAGCGGCGGACGGGUGAGUAACACGUGGAUAACCUACCUAUAAGACUGGGGUAACUUCGGGAAACCGGAGCUAAUACCGGAUAAUAUAUUGAACCGCAUGGUUCAAUAGUGAAAGACGGUUUUGCUGUCACUUAUAGAUGGAUCCGCGCCGCAUUAGCUAGUUGGUAAGGUAACGGCUUACCAAGGCAACGAUGCGUAGCCGACCUGAGAGGGUGAUCGGCCACACUGGAACUGAGACACGGUCCAGACUCCUACGGGAGGCAGCAGUAGGGAAUCUUCCGCAAUGGGCGAAAGCCUGACGGAGCAACGCCGCGUGAGUGAUGAAGGUCUUCGGAUCGUAAAACUCUGUUAUUAGGGAAGAACAAAUGUGUAAGUAACUAUGCACGUCUUGACGGUACCUAAUCAGAAAGCCACGGCUAACUACGUG